CCAGCUCCAAUAGCGUAUAUUAAAGUUGUUGCAGUUAAAAAGCUCGUAGUUGAAAUAGGGUGAGGGGGAUUUUCGAGUUGUAAAACUCGUGGAUGCCCAUCACUGUUUGGGGGAGUGACUCUAGCGAGUUAACGGCCCCCGGGUUACUGUGAAGAAAUUAGAGUGUUUAAAGCAGGUAUAUGGCUUGAAUACAUCAGCAUGGAAUAACAAGAUAGGACAGGUGUCCCGAUUGUUGGUUAGGGGAGACAAGUAAAGAUUAAUAGGGUCAGUUGGGGGCAUUAGUAUUCAGUAGUCAGAGGUGAAAUUCUUGGAUUUACAGAAGACUAACAGGAGCGAAAGCAUUUGCCAAGGAUGUUUUCA
rnacentral:rRNA from 1 species